rnacentral:rRNA from 1 species
AUUGAACGCUGGCGGCAGGCUUAACACAUGCAAGUCGAGCGAGCGGCGGACGGGUGAGCAAUGUCUGGGAAACUGCCUGAUGGAGGGGGAUAACUACUGGAAACGGUAGCUAAUACCGCAUACCAUCAGAUGUGCCCAGAUGGGAUUAGCUAGUAGGUGGGGUAAUGGCUCACCUAGGCGACGAUCCCUAGCGGGUCUGAGAGGAUGACCACGCACACUGGGACUGAGGCACGGGCCAGACUCCUACGGUAGGCAGGAGUGGGGAAGAGUGCACAAUGGGCGCAAGGCUGAUGCAGCCAUGGCGCGUGUGGGAAGAAGGCGUUCGGGUUGUAAAGCACUUGCAGCGGGGAGGCGUUACUCGCAGAAGAAGGACCGGCUAACUCCGUGCCAGCAGCCGCGGUAAUAC